UACGUAGGGCGCAAGCGUUGUCCGGAAUUAUUGGGCGUAAAGAGCUCGUAGGCGGUUUGUCGCGUCUGCCGUGAAAACCCGAGGCUUAACCUCGGGCUGGCGGUGGAUACGGGCAGACUAGAGGUAGGUAGGGGAGAAUGGAAUUCCCGGUGUAGCGGUGAAAUGCGCAGAUAUCGGGAGGAACACCGGUGGCGAAGGCGGUUCUCUGGGCCUUACCUGACGCUGAGGAGCGAAAGCAUGGGGAGCGAACAGG
rnacentral:rRNA from 1 species